AUUGAACGCUGGCGGCAUGCCUUACACAUGCAAGUCGAACGGCAGCACGGGUGCUUGCACCUGGUGGCGAGUGGCGAACGGGUGAGUAAUACAUCGGAACAUGUCCUGUAGUGGGGGAUAGCCCGGCGAAAGCCGGAUUAAUACCGCAUACGAUCUACGGAUGAAAGCGGGGGACCUUCGGGCCUCGCGCUAUAGGGUUGGCCGAUGGCUGAUUAGCUAGUUGGUGGGGUAAAGGCCUACCAAGGCGACGAUCAGUAGCUGGUCUGAGAGGACGACCAGCACACCUGGAAUUGAGCACCGCCCAGGCUCCUACGGGGAGGCAGAGUGGGGAAAUUUGGACAAUGGGCGAAAGCCUGAUCCAGCAAUGCCGCGUGUGUGAAGAAGGCCUUCGGGUUGUAAAGCACUUUUGUCCGGAAAGAAAUCCUUGGCCCUAAUACGGUCGGGGGAUGACGGUACCGGAAGAAUAAGCACCGGCUAACUACGUG
rnacentral:rRNA from 1 species